rnacentral:ncRNA from 1 species
UUUAAUCAAUUAAAUAGUAUGCGUAUAAUUUAGGGGAUAUGGCCUAAGAGUUUCUACCAAACUACCGUAAACAGUUUGACUACGCAGUUAAAAGCAAAUCUG